GUGGGUAUAGCUCAGUGGUAGAGCGCAUGCUUAGCAUGCAUGAGGUCCUAGGUCCAAUUUCUAGCACCUCCG
rnacentral:tRNA from 1 species